rnacentral:rRNA from 1 species
GAUGAACGCUGACAGAAUGCUUAACACAUGCAAGUCAACUUGAACUUCGGUUUGGGUGGCGGACGGGUGAGUAACGCGUAAAGAACUUGCCUCACAGCUAGGGACAACAUUUGGAAACGAAUGCUAAUACCUGAUAUUAUGAUUAUAUGGCAUCGUAUAAUUAUGAAAGCUAUAUGCGCUGUGAGAGAGCUUUGCGUCCCAUUAGCUAGUUGGAGAGGUAACAGCUCACCAAGGCGAUGAUGGGUAGCCGGCCUGAGAGGGUGAUCGGCCACAAGGGGACUGGGACACGGCCAUUACGCCUACGGGAGGCAGCAGUGGGGAAUAUUGGACAAUGGACCGAGAGUCUGAUCCAGCAAUUCUGUGUGCACGAUGAAGUUUUUCGGAAUGUAAAGUGCUUUCAGUUGGGAAGAAAAAAAUGACGGUACCAACAGAAGAAGUGACGGCUAACUACGUG